AACGAACGCUGGCGGCAUGCCUAACACAUGCAAGUCGAACGAACCCUUCGGGGUUAGUGGCGCACGGGUGCGUAACGCGUGGGAAUCUGCCCUUGGCUUCGGAAUAACAGUUAGAAAUGACUGCUAAUACCGGAUGACGUCUUCGGACCAAAGAUUUAUCGGCCAGGGAUGAGCCCGCGUAGGAUUAGGUAGUUGGUGGGGUAAAGGCCUACCAAGCCGACGAUCCUUAGCUGGUCUGAGAGGAUGAUCAGCCACACUGGGACUGAGACACGGCCCAGACUCCUACGGGGGGCAGCAGUGGGGAAUAUUGGACAAUGGGCGCAAGCCUGAUCCAGCAAUGCCGCGUGAGUGAUGAAGGCCCUCGGGUCGUAAAGCUCUUUUACCCGGGAUGAUAAUGACUGUACCGGGAGAAUAAGCUCCGGCUAACUCCGUGCCAGCCGCCGCCGUAA
rnacentral:rRNA from 1 species